rnacentral:rRNA from 1 species
GACGAACGCUGGCGGCGUGCUUAACACAUGCAAGUCGAACGGAAAGGCCCUGCUUUUGUGGGGUGCUCGAGUGGCGAACGGGUGAGUAACACGUGAGUAACCUGCCCUUGACUUUGGGAUAACUUCAGGAAACUGGGGCUAAUACCGGAUAGGAGCUCCUGCUGCAUGGUGUGGGUUGGAAAGUUUCGGCGGUUGGGGAUGGUCUCGCGGCUUAUCAGCUGGUUGGUGGGGUAGUGGCUUACCAAGGCUUUGACGGGUAGCCGGCCUGAGAGGGUGACCGGCCACAUUGGGACUGAGAUACGGCCCAGACUCCUACGGGAGGCAGCAGUGGGGAAUAUUGCACAAUGGGCGGAAGCCUGAUGCAGCAACGCCGCGUGCGGGAUGACGGCCUUCGGGUUGUAAACCGCUUUCGCCUGUGACGAAGCGUGAGUGACGGUAAUGGGUAAAGAAGCACCGGCUAACUACGUG